AAAUAAAUCAUCAAUAUGAGUUUGUUCCUCUAAAUGUUUUAUUAAUUUUAAACCAAUAAAAAAAAAAAAUAAAAAAAAAUUAAAGGGAGUAUCUAAGAGUGAAUAAUUAAAAAAAACGAAAAAAAGGAUAGUCAUAUGUAGUUGUACUCAAAAAAAAAAAAAAAGUGGUAAUAUAUUAAAUGUCCAGCAUUUAUUUUAAAACAUAACUAAUUUGAAUUAUGGAUAAAAUUAAAAAAAAUGUAAAAAAGGAAAUAUGUAAAAAAAAAAAGAAAAAAAAAAACGAUGUAAUUGCUGAUAAAGCGAACGAUGUAAUUACUGAUAAAGCGAACGAUGUAAUUGUUGACAGAGCGAACGAUGUAAGUAAGAACGAGCCAAGUAAUACUAAGCCCGAUGAUACCAAACUUACAAACCAAAUCAAAAACAGUAGUAAACACAUUAUAGAUUAUGACAUUGAACGUUACAUUACUAAAAAAAUACCAAACGUAAGCAGAAAUUUAAAAAUAGAUCUUCAAGUAGCUAUACCUUCAACAAUAAUAAAUUACAGAAGUGAUGUUAUCAAGUCUUAUUUAUCAAGUUAUUUAGCCAGAACAUUGACAAUUUUUUCUGUUUCAAAAGUUUAUAUUUAUGAUGAUUUUCUAUUAAAUGAAAGUUGUACUAUUAUAGAUAAAAAUAAUAUGUAUAAAAAUAAUAUGUAUAAAAAUAAUAUGUAUAACAAUAAUAAUAGUAGUAAUAAUAGUAGUAAUAAUAGUAGUAAUAAUAGUAGUAAUAAUAGUAGUAAUAAUAGUAGUAAUAAUAGUGGUAAUAAUAGUGGCAAUAAUAGUGGAAAUACUAUUGUGAAUGAGAAAGAUGAAAAUGGAACAAAUUCAACAAACAGUACAUAUUCUUACUUGUGUAAAUAUUUACAUUAUAACUUACAAUAUUUAGAAACACCACAAUAUUUAAGAAAACAUAUUUUUCCUAUUUGUGAUUUUCUUAAACACUCAGGAAUCAUGAACGCUGUUGACGCACCCCAUCAUUUAAGAAGCAACGAGUGGUUGCCAUUUCGAGAAGGUGUUGUUGUUGAACAAAAGUUAAAUGGAGUAAUAGUAGAUGUAGGUCUAUCAUCCAAUGCAUUUAUUGUAUAGUAGGUACGUCUGAGAGGGGAGAACCUUUAGAAUCUGUACAGGCAACUAUGAAUAAAUUUAGGUACAAAAAUGCGAGUAUACA
rnacentral:lncRNA from 1 species